CGCACGAAUGGAAAUGUGCGUCCAAGCAGUGAGUGUGAGAAGUAGGCAAAUCCGCUUCUCGCGAAGCAUGAGCUGUGAUGGGGAAGGAAAUUAAGUACGGAAGUUCCUGAUUGCACGCUGUCAAGAAAAGCCUCUAGGAAGAGUAGUACUGCCCGUACCGCAAACCGACACAGGUAGAUGAGGAGAGAAUCCUAAGGUGAGCGAGAGAACUCUCGUUAAGGAACUCGGCAAAAUGACCCC
rnacentral:rRNA from 1 species